rnacentral:lncRNA from 1 species
GUGUCACGCCCCAGACCGCACCACCCGAAAACGGUACCAAUUUGGUCCGAUUCGAGGGCGGCGUGCGCGACCGCCGAACGGACAGAGUCUCCCCUGUCCGCCCAAGGCUAAGCAACGGAUUGUGUACAACAAGUCCCCAGGAAGAACAACUUGCAUUCAUACACAAUCAACAACGAAACGAAAGCACAAACAGUGCUAUAACCAACUAGAGCAAGCGAUACAAGUAAAAUCAUACAAGUAUACAAAAGAGAGAAACUUAACUAUUUAAACCAUAAUUGAAACAUUUAACCUCUUUCGAUAACAUUUUAAACUUUAAUCAUUUAAUACAACUUGCAUUUUUUUCUCAAAUGAAUAUACAUCGUGAACUCUCCAAAACCUCACACUAUACAACAUCUACUCUCAAAACAUAACCAAAAGUACAGGGUAUAGAGCUAAUGCAAGUAGGUAAGGUAGGCUAUCUACCAAAAGCUAGGGCGCUAUGCCCUUACCACGAUCCAUCGCCGAAGGCCCGCUGUCCAGUGUACCUGUACCCCCAAAGCUACACGGGGGUGAGAACUACGAAUAGUUCCCAGUGGGUUCGGCCGCCGACUCCGCCGAUCUACCCACUAGGUCUCAAGCAGGCAUAGAGAGAUAUAUAUGCAAUAUAUGUAAAACUGAGCUAAACUGAAAGCAGUAUGUAACAACUAUAUCAAGCUAUGCCUCAAUCUGGAAUCAUGAAUGCAUGAACAAAUAAUAGAGCUGGGUAAGUAAGCAACUAUCAACAUCUACAACAGCUAUCAUAGUGAGCUAUAAACAUGCUACUAGGUAGGCAAACAAGCUGAUAUGAACAAUAAAUAGCUACUAUGAACAUCAUUCAUGGGUAAGACUCAAUGGAUAACCCAAUCCUCAAGUGAACGCAAGGUUCACAAGCAAGGCUCACAUAUCAAUCUCCUAGGGAUGCCAAACUGGUCGAUCCCCGAGUACGCCUGCGGAUAACAAGCGGCUAUCCGAGCAGCGAGCAGGGCUGCCUCUCUAGUGACCAAACUCCGGAGCACACAACCUGAGGGGAGCGACCCCACCAAGCGUAGACAGGCAAUGUGAGCAAGAUCAUCUCACGAGCAACAGCAACAACCCUUUGAGGGUAAUAUCAUCAUGGAGUCAAGGUAUACUUGUACCCAAUCUCAUAGUGUCUCAACUACACUAAUGUGAUCAUCUCAAGGAAACAUCAUCAAUGUCAAUCAUCAUAGUUUUUCUAACUAGAUGCCACUUGUCAUAGUUUUCUAAACUAGAUGCCACUCAUCAAUUUUGACUCAUUAUUAACACUAGUUUCAUCAUACUAGUUCUUUAGCAACAUAAGCAUUAAUCAUCUCAUAUAGGGUCUAGAUUCUCAACAUGUAGUUUUCAUCAACAAUCAUCAUGCAUACUAGAUCAUAACCAACCAAGCAAAAUAUAUUUAUUGAACUACUAGCAUGCAAGUAUAAGCAACAAUAAUCGUUUUCUAACCCUAUAUGAACAUAAGCAAGAUGCAAUAGAUCAACUUUAAACUUAGACAUAGAAGGUUGCCCGAUGACUUCGGGAUGGCACUCCCCCACCUUGGGUGAUGCCGAAAACACUCCGAGACGCGUUCUCGUGCUAGUCUUGUCGCCGCUUAAUUUCCGUUGGGUUAGCUCUAACCCCUUAGCACAACAAAUGGCGAUAUCUUCGCACCCACUUGUCGGAUCGACGAACCGUCUUCGCCUACGCGUUUAUAAGCAUAGCAAUUAGGUUUCUAACCCCUCAAAAGAGAUCAAACCCCUAUAUUUCCAAAAACCCCAAAUCUAACCCUAGGUUUAGCAACAAUAGAGAAAUCAUGGUUUCAAGCUCCAAAUUUGGGAUUGAACCUUCUCUUAAGCUUCAAUGGUUUCCAUUUAAACCAUUCUUAAGCAACAUAACCCUUUCUAAAACCUAGGUUUAGCAUCUAUGAGGAAAACCAUGGAUGCUAGCCUCAAUGUGAGCUAGAUCCAUCAUCUCUAAACUAUUGGCUUCAAUUGAACCAUUAAAGCCACAAAAACCACAAACCCUAGAAAUCAAUCAUUAGCGUUAGGCUUACUCUAGGGUUUGCCUCAAAGCAAUGCCCUAAGCCAAGAUGGAAUUAGCGUGAAGAAGCAAGCUCAAAACAUCUUCUCCUUCUUUCUCCUUCCUUUCUUCUUCUUUUCCUUCUUUUUCCUCUACUUUUUUUCCUUUUCUCUUCUUCUCCUUCUAUUCGGUUGAGAGAGAAGCGGAGAGAGUGAUGGGAGAGAAUGAGUGAGGUGAGAGAGAAGAGCGAGAGUAGAGGAAUAAUCCUCUAUUGUAAGACAAAAGCCUAAAAAAGGCCUCAUUUAACAGAUUUUUGCAAUUAACCGCAGUGUCGCGCGCCCUUGUACCCUACACGGCUUUCUUGUACCGGUACAAGCCCUGGAAUACCGCAGAGGCAAACCGAGCUGCGGUUUGCUUGCAGAGUCGUACGUACACGAGCCUUUUGUUACGAGUACAGCCCUGUAGCUUUCGGCAACCCGAUUCGGCAGCUCACUGUCGAUGGUUGUACCGGUACAGCCACAGCCUUGUCCGCGUACAGCACUCCAGAAUGCCUGAUUCUUGCUGUUUGUUUCUUUUCUGCCGUCAACAACGCUAAAACAUUUCCAACACUUUGGAACUCAUUUUUAACUCUUCCAAUCAUUCGAAACACGUAAUGUAACUGUCUUCAAUUCGGUUUAAUCGCCUCACCUUUCGGUCCAUUUGGCCAAAGUUAGCCAAUAUGUCGAAUUUCGAUAUGCUUACAUUCUCCACCCCUUAAAAGGAGAGGUUUCGUCCUCGAAACAACUAUCUGUAACAUCGAACUUAAACGCUUACCUCAAUCUCGAACAGGUGAGGAUGGUUCUGCUGUUCGAUUGAUCCUCAAGCUCCCAAGUGGCUUCACGAUCAUCGUGAUUGCUCACGACUUUAACAUAGGGAAUUUUCGAUUCCUUAACUUACGCCACCUCUCGAGCCAAAAUCUUUACCGGAACUUUGCAUUAGCUCAAAAUCAUCUGAAGCUCCGUGCUAUAUUAGCAGGCAUGUCGGGGUGUAAAUUACUUGCGAAGGCUUGAGACGUGGAAACACAUUGUGCACACCGCGCAAGCUAUCGGGGCAAUGCAAGUCGAUACGCCCACCGUCCACUCGCUCCAAGAUCUCGGUAGGGCCGAUAAACGAGGACUUAGCUUUUCCUCGCCACCCGAAACCUUUUUCCGCCUCGCAUCGGUGAAACCUUUAAGUAAUAACCCGGUCACCACCGCGACUCCAAAUCUCGCCGGCGGCCUAUUCCGCUAGCUUUGCUGUCUCGACUCGCCGUGAGCACUCUUUUGCGAGCAAGGCGUACUUUCUCCUCCGCUUCUCCGCAACACAUCCGGGCCAAUCGUACGCUCACCUACAUCGCUCCAAUGUACUAGGAGAUCGGGCUCAUAACCGUCAGUAGAGGGCUCGAACGGUGCCAUUCUCCACAUGUAUGAUAACUAUUGUUGUUAGGCGACUUCGGCCAUCGGUUAUGGUGAUCACACAAUUUCCUUUAUGAGUCCAUUGGACACACGCUCCACAUAUCCUCCAGAGUUUGUAAUAGUCCUCUCUGAUUGCCCAUCAGCUGAGGAUGAAACGCAGAUAGCUAAAAUCGAAGCCGUGGCAAGGUGCUUCCUGCAGGCUCUUUCCAGAAAUGCUUGAGUGAACGCGGGGGUCACGACCGACAGCUAUCGAUUUCGGCACCCCAUGCAGUCUCACUAUCUUUCAAGAUACACCUCGCUAACUUGUCCCCGACCACUGAGUAUGGAAUCGGAAGAAAUGGAGCGACUUCGUUAAUCGGUCACAAUGUACCCAAUUGCAUCGGUGGCGCCCUUUGGCGGAGGAAGCGACCACGACAGUCAUCGAGAUAAUCCUCCAUUUCGCAAACGGGGAUUGGUAGACUUUGAAGCUUCCCGCUGGGAUCGAUCUCGAGCCUUCACCUGUGGCAGGCUAGCACUUUGCCACAAAGGUUCCAAUGUCGCCUUUCUCCCGGCCAACCAAUAGUGCAUUUUAGGCCUUGCGGUACUCUUGGUGCCGCCCGGGUGGCCCGCAUAACCGAGGACCAAUCGACUCUCUGUAGAUAUAAGUGCGAAGCUCUUCAUCGAGCGGUACACACCUACGUUCCCGAAACCGAAGCGUACCAUCGCGUCAACUUGAACUCGCCAUCCAUGACCUUCCGUCGAUGUUUCGCAUGCACCUUUUGGAGUUCUAGGCGGGGGCCCGCAAGUUGCCAGAUCUUUAAUUCUCUCCAAAAGUCGGUUGGGACAACGAGUGCACCAUAACUGAGUCGGGACCUGGGAGCCAACCACUCUAGGUCAAUCGCUCCAUAUUCCAACCCUAGGAGGUUUGCCGGGUAUACAUCCGAAAGCAAGGUUCUUAACCGUCUUCUACUCAGCGCGAUCAGCGACCACAUUGCUUCCGGGGUGGUAAGGAUAUCCAACAUAUAAUCCUUAAGCAAUUGCCAACCCGCCCGCGUCGCAGUAUAAUAGCCUCUUCUGUUGACAGAUAUUCAGCUCUAUGGUCGGUGUAGUAUCUCGCAAUGAGCACCAUAUAGAUAAUGUCUCCAAAGCCUUCAAGAAAGAUCAUCGCCGCCAACCCUAGAUCGAUGAAUGGGUAGUUUUUCAUGCCUUUCAACUGACGGGAUGCAUAAAGCAUAACUUCGCGCUCCUGCAUCAGCACAACCCCAAGCCAAACUAUAGAAGCAUCAAUAAACGACUAGUCCUGAUGUCCUUCGCACCGGUAAAGGGAUUACCGGAUUCGAACGUUAACCUUUGACUUCAACUCUUUAAACCGCUACGGUCCACAUCUCGCCCUCACAAACUUGAUUGCCUUUUUGGGUCAAAGUCAGUAAGCGGAGUCACAUCUUCGAGAACCCUGCACAAACUCGAAAUAAACCCGCUACGCCCACAAAUUACGAUUACUCGGUAACAUUCUGCGGGCGCGGCCAAUUCUCAAUGCUAAACUUUUCUUCGGGUCAACGAGAAACUCAUCACCCCGAGCAAAUAACAUGCCGGAGAAACAGCAACUUCCCUGAGCAAAGUCGCAUUUUCUUUAACUUUGCCGUACACAUUUUCUUCUCCCGAAGAUUGAGUACCGUGCGCAAAUGCUCCGCGUGUCCUCGCGCUACGGAAUACCAACAUGUCGGUCUAUGAAGACUACGGACAAAUCGGUCUAACAGCACUCCUGGAACACUCGGUUCAUAAGCCUGAACGCUUGCCGGGCAUUUUGUGAGCCCAAACGGCAUCACGUAACUCGUCCAUUGUCCAUAACGCGUGCGAAACGCCUGUCUUCUGAACAUCUUCCGCUUGAUCUUUUAACUGGUGAUAGCCAGACUGAAGGUCAAUCUUAGAAUACACUCGCGGACCCCUUGCAGACUGAUCAAAAACAGUACGUCAUAGGGGUAGCGGGUAUGUUCUUACCGUGACUUUUCAACUUCGCGAUAAUCCACGCAGAAGUCGAAAAGAUCCAUCUUUCUUGCGCUACAAAUAAUACGGGGCACACCACGGCGAACGUCGGCCUCUAAUGAAUUCCUUGUCUAAAGAUCCUGCAAUUGAUCUCAUCAACUCCCUUAGCUCGGCCGGCGCAUGCGAUACGGGGCCUUGAGAAAUCGGCGCAGUGCCCGCGGGUUACCAAGUCAAUCAUUGAACUCGAUCUCCCACGUCCGGCGGCCAUACCCGGUAAUCAGCGGAAACACUCAGGGAAACUCCCGCACAACCCAACUCCUCGAGAGGAUUUGAACCCUCGGCAUCUCUACAACGGUCGCCAAUAGCUCAUGCAACGCGGUUCACAGCUCCUCGCUCUGUCGCCGAUACCAUCGGUGCAAGACGAGCUCGUUAAGCUCGAAUUAGGUGAACUACUCUUGUCCGGCCUCCGAAAUUGAUAACUCGAUCGGGCAAUCAUCAUACAUGGUCGCCGGCUACUUGAGAGCCAAUCCAUGCCCAAUAUACAUCAAAUUCCUUGUCCAACUUCUGAGCCCCAGACAAGUCGAGUCGCGCAUUAACCAGUCAUUCACUUGCAGCUGGACAUGCCAAACAUCUCUUCCUAAUCAUAAAGAUGAUCGCCCGGGCCAUCUCAACAUGCCACACGUGCUCCCAAAAGAUACUCAAUAUCAUGCGCUCGUGCAAAUGACGACUAAUGAAUCGAUGAUGAAGCGCCUGUAUCAAAUAAGCUCUAGCCUCGAAUCUUUAACCAAAUAUUAUACCUGCCACAACAAUUGCGCUUCGGCUUCGCCUCUGAAGGCUCUCAUUAUGAACGGGCUGCAGCAUACAUCUCCCGUCGGCCGCUAUGUGCAUGGCUCCUGUUGGGUGGCCGCCGCGCCCGCCGGUAGAUGCCUGCAGGAGGGCGGCAAAGCUAACGAGCUGAACGCGGGCGCGAUGCAGUCGAUAGGCGGCGAAGUCCUUCCUGAGGGACAAUUGCGUAUCUGAGCCACCGUUUGCCCGCAUCUUGAAGCACCUCCCUCGACGCGCUGCUCACAAAGCACCCGGCCGGUGGUCUCCGCCGCAGAAGAAAGAUCGCUCAGCCCACGACCCUUGGCCUGAGCAGGGCGGAGACUUCGGGGGCCUCUGGACGCUGAAUGACCACCCGAUCACCGCCCUGGCUUUUCUUGCUUUAUCGCUUGUCGUAAACUCACGGUCCGUCCGCUCGCAAGCGUUUCCCGUGCUGUCGACCCAUAUGGCGCGACUCUAGUGCUGCCGCCUAGUAGUAGGAACUUAAGGCAUUGCCACCAACUGAACACUCCGGGCCGAAGCUCGAACAAACAAUCCGCGGUCCUGCAUCGGUCGUCGCCACGUCCGGACACAGACUCAGGAGAUGAGUGAAACUCCCGCUCGUACUCCCGAACGACGCGAUUGCCUUGCGCUUGAGCUGUGCGAGUUCUUCCCGCAUCCUUUCUUGUCGCUGUCGGGGAAGAGUACUCGGCGAACAUCAGCUGCGGAACUGCCGCCCAAUCAAUCGGGGGAAGCUCCGGGAACCGGUCCUGCUUGACUCUCCUACCACCAAGUCCUGGCCGCUUUCUCGACAGCAAUGCGCGGCCAAGCUUCCCUUUGUCGCCUCUCCAAGGUGAAAUGUCCUCAACAAAGAGUAUCCGAUAGCUGUUCAGCACGACUUACCACCGUCGCCUGGUCCACCACCUCCUCGAAAGUAGGCGGCUGAAACUUCGUGAACCUCAAGUGCCCUUGUGAGCGCACAUUAGCCACGCUCACGCGCCUCCUCAGCUCGACUACGGGGUGGGUAGGGAGAACGGAACUCGGUAGAACUAUCCACCGGUGGGGCGUUGCGCCGCCACGCGAACCGAAACGCCACCCACGCCCGCCGCUAUCAGGGCGCGGCCGAAGCGCAGCGGACCGCGGCCUGAUCCGCUGCGCGCCGCCGCCCUGCAGCACUGCUGCUGCCAACAGCUCGCUGAACUCCUUAUCGAACCGUCCUGUGAGCGUCGCCGACUUGCGCUCGCCAAUCCUGCACCUCAAGUAGGCAGGAUUGGCACUGCGCCACUGCGAGGCACGGUGGCGGGACCUCUGGAGGAUAGGUGCCGGAGCGUCUACGCCACGUAGCGUACUCUUUGGUGCCAUAGCUCCUGACAACGCACAAUCAGUGGUUAAAUUCUUAACUCAACAACAUCGUCGUAAACACUGCAAAACAUAACGGCAUUAAAACAUCAAUCGGCGGUAAGCUUGCAAGUGUCUUAAUUCUCGAUCCUUCGCAUCUUUUGUCGGCGCCAACACAUCACCUUAAGCCAAAAUUAAGUUACCAGCUGAUCAUUCUCUACCAUAUAACUGAGAUACAACACCAAAUUCGAAACCCAAUCAAUUAGCUUCGUCCGUAUAGGUUUCAGUCGCACUCACGCCCUAAGACCUUUACGGUUAACAACGCUAGAGUUCCUAGGUAAUCUUAGACUUCUCUCUUUUGGCUUGCUCUUAACUCGCUUGAUACCACCAACUGUCACGCCGCCAGACCGCACCACCCGAAACGUACCAAUUUGGUCCGAUUCCUGAGGGGCGGCCGUGCGCGACGCCGAACGGACAGAGUCUCCCCUGUCCGCCAAGGCUAAAGCAACGGAUUGUGUACAACAAGUCCCCGGAAGAACAACUUGCAUUCAUACACAAUCAACAACGAAACGAAAGCACAAAGCAGUACAUAACCAAUUAGAGCAAGCGAUACAUAGUAAAAUCAUACAAGUAUACAAAAGAGAGAAACUUAGCUAUUUAAACCAUAAUUGAAACAUUUAACCUCUUUCGAAUAACAUUUUAAACUUUAAUCAUUUACAUACAACUUGCAUUUUCUUUUCUCAAAUGAAUAUACAUCAUGAACUCUCCAAAACCUCACCCUAUACAACAUCUACUCUCAAAACUAACCAAAAGUACGGGAUAGGUAUGCAAGUAGGUAAGGUAGGCUAUCUACCAAACAGCUAGGGCGCUAUGCCCUUACCACGAUCCAUCGCCGAAGGCCCGCUGUCCAGUGUACCUGUACCCCAAAGCCACACGGGGGUGAGAACUACGAAUAGUUCCCAGUGGGUUUCGGCCGCCGACUCCGCCGAUCUACCCACUAGGUCUCAAGCAGGCAUAGAGAGAUAUAUAUGCAAUAUAUGUAAAACUGAGCUAAACUGAAAGCAAGUAUGUAACAACUAUAUAAGCUAUGCCUCAAUCUGGGAAUCAUGAAUGAUGAACAAAUAAUAGAGCUGGGUAAGUAAGGCAACUAUCAACAUCUACAACGGCUAUCAUAGUAAGCUAUAAACAUGCUACUAGGUAGGCAAAAAGCUGAUAUGAACAAUAAAUAGCUACUAUGAACAUCAAUCAUGGGUAA